GAAAGAGAUGGCUGGAAGUCAAGAAGGAGAGGAUCUCCUUGUAAGGAUGCCAGGCAAGAGCCUUGUUGACUUAGCAGGUGACAGUCUGGGGAAGUGGGGGAGGAGGGUGCGGAUGUCACACCCCUGUGAGCUUGAUUCCCAUUGGCUCUUGAGAUCCUUAAAAGGGUCCUGCAGUCUCAGCAGCAGCAUUCUCAGACCCUCAGAGGAUUCUGUGGUUACAGUCUCUCCUCAACCCAAGGCAUGAGACACACGACUCUCCUCCUCCUGGCAGCUCUGGUCGGGACCCUGGUCUUUGCCCAAAAUGCUUCCUCUGCACUUGCCGAGGGACUCUUGACCUCUGAUGAGGGGACCCCAGCUCCAACAGAAUCUGCUUCACCCCAAAAUACAGCCUCAGCAACCCAGAAGAUUCUGACAGCACCUCCCAGCUCAGAAUUCAACCCACUGCAACUCGGGUUUGGUAAAGGUAUCUCGGUAGCCCAAGAAAUAAGAAAAAAAAUACGAGAAAGAAUUGAUGGAGGAAAGAAAUUCAUCGAAGAGGGAACUGCAGCGGCACAGACCCUAGGGAAAAAAUUGUUUCCAACAAUAUUGUUGCCUGGUUUUUGAGAAGCUGAAGAAAUGGAGUCUCUGGACUUAACACCUUAAACAUACUUGUAGCCCAUAGCAAUUAAAGUGAAAGCAUCCAACUUGCCCUUGCCAGUGCUCUGUGGGGUGGGCCCUAGGGGAGCGGGGGCAAAGCCCGACGUGACCCAAGCUCCCAGUCCGUCACAGCCUGCCUUGGCGACACAGCCUGUGACAAGCCGUUUCAUCCACCCUGAGCCACAGGCGCACGCCCUGGGCCUCGUGCAAGUCCAAAUGCCACUCCAGUUCUGGUCUGCCUCCUCGCUCUUCACUCAUGGCUCCCAGUGACAUUUGAGCGUUUCCAAAACCUAAGCCAACCUCCAGAGAAGCAGGAUUUAUCAUCCUGAAAAAUAAUCAAAGCCCAAACCACUGCUAUUACAGCUAUGUUCUGGCACUGUUAUUAAAAAACGCAUCUCCCCUGCUGUACAUUCAUACUUUGUACACUGGACCAAAGUGAAUGGCAACGGCCAGUUAGAUCCGACCAGUUAAAUAAUGAGCUGCUGCAGCAAAGGCUUGACCAAAAAGGCCAACUGAAUCCAUCACAAUUACCCACAUGCUCAUCCUGUAUCUCCUCCUUCCCUGCAUCGCAGUCCAAGGCUGCCCAUCACAGACGGACAGGAAAAGACAUGCAUGACCACAGAAGAGAGAACCAUCAGCUCUCCUCCCACCUGCCCUCUCACAAAGCCCAGUCCGUAGCACGUCUGGGAUCUAACACCCCCAGAGCCACUGAUUCUAGACUAACCUUCUCCACCCCCGUCAGGUUCCCUCCCCUUCUAUCCUGGGCGUGAGGGGCAUUCAGCCCAGACCUUGUUGCUUUUGAUUUUGUUUUGUUUUGGUUUUUUGCCACAUUGAGCCUUCAUUGCUGUAUGUUGGUUUUCUCUAGUUGCAGUGCUCAGGCUUAGUUGCUCCGAGGCAUGUGGGAUCUUCCCAGACCAGGGGUCAGACUCGUGUUCCCUGCAUUGGCAGACAGAUUCUUAUCCGCUGUACCACCAGAGACGUCCUAGACACUUGUUUUCAGUGAAUCAAGCAAUGUAUCCUCCUGUUGAGCCCUCCCACCUCCACCACAGAUCCUCCUUUUCCAAGAACACUGCCAAGGAAACAGAGGGGGACCCUCAGAAACAGGCACCCUCGGAGCACCCGUUAUGAUCAACGCUGGGUGCCCAAGGCACGUCACACUCGAGUAGCCUACGAUCCUGUACGUGGGUUGAAUUGUUCUCCAAAAGGCCUGUUGAAGUCCUAAGCCGUGGUCCCUCAGAAAGUGACCUUAUUUGGAAACUGGAUCCUUACAGAUGUAGUUAGUUAAGGUCCUACUGGAGUAAGGUGAAUCCCCAAACCAAAAUGACUAUCGUCCUGAUAAGAAGGGAGGAAUUUGGACACGGAGACACACAGAGGAAAGACAAUGUGAAGAUGUGCGGGAUAGACAGUCGAGUGGAAACAGAGGCAGGGACUGAGCGAUGCCCCAGAAGACAAGGGAGGCUGGGGAUCACCAGCAGACACAGAAGUUCCAAGAGGCCACAAGAAAGGAGUCUCCUGGGACUUCCCUGGGGGUCUGUGCUCCCAGUGCAGGAGACACAGGUUCAGUCCCUGGUCAGGGAACUAAGAUCCCCUAUGCCACGCGCCCGAAAAAGAAAAAAGAAGAAAGGAAUCUCCUGUACAGGUUUUGGAGGGAACAUGGCCCUGAUAACACCUUGAUUUCAGACUUUUAGCUUCCAGAACUGUGAGACAAUAAACUUAUGUUGUUUUAAGUCA
rnacentral:lncRNA from 1 species